UGUACUUUGGGGAAGUAAACCCCAAGCAACUAGGAGGUGGGCACCAGGGAGGCCAAGGGAGCCCCCGGCCAAUGGCAAAGCGGGAAGGAUCUGAUUGACGCGGGGGUUGGACUGCGCCAAGGAGACCGAGCCCCAGGGCCGCCGUGCCCUCUGGGGAUGUUCAGUGUCUCUUCUGGCCCAGGCUUCCGUCCUCUUUCCUUUCUUUCCCUCACUUGUUAGGUCUAGGCCCUGAGGCCUUUCUCGCACCUUUUCUGCAGCUCGGUACCCGGGAAACCAAGGGCGAAAGUUCCCGUUUUGUUUUGUUUUGUUUUGUUUUUUCUUUCUGUAGCAACUUUUUUAUUUCCAUGCGGCCACCUAAGAGCACUUGCUGGCUCUCACCAUUAGUCAGCACUAUUGUUGGACGACAGUUUAAGAGCAAGCGAGAGGGGAGAGUAGCGCCCGUCGUGUACCUGCGAUCGUGUAAAAAGGCCGCACGGGGAAGGUGCGGUUGAGUUUGAGAAUACGGAACUCGACCCUGCUGUUCGCGGCCGAGGGCCGGCUGGUGGGAGCCCGCUGAGUUCUUUCCCUUCUGUUGCUGCCAAGGAACCAUAGCCUGUAAGGUCUCCGCUCCGGUUGGUCCUUAAUGCAACAUCCUACAGGAAAUGACCCAGGUAUGGAGCUGUAUGGAUCUGCUCUCACAGCGGACUGUCGAGCAACCGUAGAGAAAAUGAGGUGGAUCUAUGCGUAGCUACAGAGUGAUCUGCAAAGGGCAGAAUCAUGGAAAGAGUAAAAAGCGGG